rnacentral:rRNA from 1 species
CAGCAGCCGCGGUAAUACGUAGGGCGCAAGCGUUAUCCGGAAUUAUUGGGCGUAAAGAGCUCGUAGGCGGUUUGUCGCGUCUGCCGUGAAAGUCCGGGGCUCAACCCCGGAUCUGCGGUGGGUACGGGCAGACUAGAGUGAUGUAGGGGAGACUGGAAUUCCUGGUGUAGCGGUGAAAUGCGCAGAUAUCAGGAGGAACACCGAUGGCGAAGGCAGGUCUCUGGGCAUUAACUGACGCUGAGGAGCGAAAGCAUGGGGAGCGAACAGGAUUAGAUACCCGAGUAGUCCCUGUCUCUUAUAC